rnacentral:rRNA from 1 species
AUGAACGCUGGCGGCGUGCCUCAUACAUGCAAGUCGCGCGAACAGACGAGGAGCUUGCUCCUUUGACGUUAGCGGCGGACGGGUGAGUAACACGUGGGUAACCUACCUAUAAGACUGGGAUAACUUCGGGAAACCGGAGCUAAUACCGGAUAAUAUUUCGAACCGCAUGGUUCGAUAGUGAAAGAUGGCUUUGCUAUCACUUAUAGAUGGACCUGCGCCGUAUUAGCUAGUUGGUAAGGUAUCGGCUUACCAAGGCAACGAUACGUAGCCGACCUGAGAGGGUGAUCGGCCACACUGGAACUGAGACACGGUCCAGACUCCUACGGGAGGCAGCAGUAGGGAAUCUUCCGCAAUGGGCGAAAGCCUGACGGAGCAACGCCGCGUGAGUGAUGAAGGUCUUCGGAUCGUAAAACUCUGUUAUUAGGGAAGAACAAACGUGUAAGUAACUGUGCACGUCUUGACGGUACCUAAUCAGAAAGCCACGGCUAACUACGUG